GAGUUUGAUCCUGGCUCAGGACGAACGCUAGCGGCGCACCUAACGAAUGCGAGUCGAGCGGGGUGCAUUCAUCCGAGCACCUUCGGGUGCUCACCGGAUGCACCUAGCGGCAAACGGGUGAGUAACACGUGGGCAACCUGCCCCCAGGUGGGGGAUAGCCGGGGGAAACCCCGGGUAAUCCGCAUAAACUGGCCCGCCGCAUGGCGAGGUCAGCAAAGGCCCUUCGGGGUCGCCUGGGGAUGGGCCCGCGGCCCAUCAGCUAGUUGGUGAGGUAACGGCUCACCAAGGCGACGACGGGUAGCCGGCCUGAGAGGGUGGUCGGCCACACGGGGACUGAGACAUGGUCCCGGCUCCUACGGGAGCUAGCAUCGGGGAAUAUUGCGCAAUGGGCGAAAGCCCGACGCAGUGACGCCGCGU
rnacentral:rRNA from 1 species